rnacentral:rRNA from 1 species
AAAUUGAAGAGUUUGAUCAUGGCUCAGAUUGAACGCUGGCGGCAGGCCUAACACAUGCAAGUCGAACGGUAACAGGAAGCAGCUUGCUGCUUCGCUGACGAGUGGCGGACGGGUGAGUAAUGUCUGGGAAACUGCCUGAUGGAGGGGGAUAACUACUGGAAACGGUGGCUAAUACCGCAUAACGUCGCAAGACCAAAGAGGGGGACCUUCGGGCCUCUUGCCAUCAGAUGUGCCCAGAUGGGAUUAGCUUGUUGGUGAGGUAACGGCUCACCAAGGCGACGAUCCCUAGCUGGUCUGAGAGGAUGACCAGCCACACUGGAACUGAGACACGGUCCAGACUCCUACGGGAGGCAGCAGUGGGGAAUAUUGCACAAUGGGCGCAAGCCUGAUGCAGCCAUGCCGCGUGUAUGAAGAAGGCCUUCGGGUUGUAAAGUACUUUCAGCGGGGAGGAAGGUGUUGCGGUUAAUAACCGCAGCAAUUGACGUUACCCGCAGAAGAAGCACCGGCUAACUCCGUGCCAGCAGCCGCGGUAAUACGGAGGGUGCAAGCGUUAAUCGGAAUUACUGGGCGUAAAGCGCACGCAGGCGGUCUGUCAAGUCGGAUGUGAAAUCCCCGGGCUCAACCU